ensembl:lncRNA
UGGGUAUAUAAGAAAGGAAGAAAAAUGUAACUGUGGUUUUGCAAGUAAUUGUGUAUAGAAAAGCGGAAGGGAGGGAAUACUGCUUGCACAUACAGACCAGAAAAAGUUUCAUCUUACAGUUAAACCCAGGCAUGCAAACAGCGAUUAAGAACUAAAGUUACAUACACUAUUCACAAAUAAAAUUAGGAUGGGAUGUUUGGAAAAUUGAAGGUGUUGUCCCACCUCUCAGUGUACAAUGUUGCCCAAAAUGUUAUUGCCAAGGAGGUAAAUUUAAAAAGGUAAUGCUUUGAAUGUUGCUAGAUCAUCUCAUGCAAGCAUACUGAAGUCACUGAAGACGCAAACCCAACCAAGAUUCAUAAGCCCACAUGAACUAUCCAUGUAAAAUCAAUGGAAAGUUCAGGAUGCACUAUAAAUAUUAGAGCACAGGUCUUUUUAGACCUCUGUUCUUCUUUACAACAAACCUUGUUUUGCCUUGUCACACAUGCAUCAGGAAGUUCAGUAGCGUGGACAGGCAAAUAAUGUAGAUAUUAGCAAAAAGUAGACUGAAAAACACGAUACUGCACAGUAUUUUACUUCUUAUAUGGACAGGAAUCACAGCUUUGCCAAAGUAAUAAGAUGUACACUCUCUUAAAAAUGUGACUGUGCAUUGUACAGGGCAGUUGGAAGUGCAUAUAGAAUUGUACUGAAUAUAAUAAAAGCACAGACACAUUGCUUGUGGUCCAGAAAAGAGGCCUUUGGCAGUCUGUUUCUUGGUAUCAGCAAUUGAAUUUGAAUCCCUCCAUCAUUUUAAACUGGUGGCUUAUGAAAGAUUCGAAAAAAUACACUGAUUUCUUUAUAUGAAACAGAUGCAGCUUAGAUUUAAAUAUCAUGUAAAGCAAAACAUAUCCAAAUGAUAGCAAAUGCAAUUGUAUCUAACAGACAAGCAUGCGAUUAUUUAGAUAAACAGCAAAAAAAAACCCUGGAAUUUGCACAUUAAGUGGUAUCAAGUAAAAAUUCAAAACCAGUACUGCUCUCCAGCAAGAUUUCAAAUUAAUAACUGAAAAAAAAAACAAUAAUUGAAAGUGAGGUCUCAGAGGAAUGUGAAAAAACAGACAAGUUAGAGGAAAUUGCCAUCAAUUUAAGUAUACCAAAAUGCAUUUUUCAUUUUAAAAAACAAUAAAAGAUAUUAUAAGUCGUAAAACACCACUGAUCUUCCCUUUGCAGUCUUGGUUUGGAUUCUCCCCCAUGAAAUGGCACAUGAAAGAUGGUUGGAAUUAUUCAGCCAAAAAAGGAACAUGGUUUUUGUGAGAAAUGCUUUGGGUUUUCUGACCGGCUAUAAUGAAUAUUCAUCGUAGAUAUGAAACAUUUCCAAAAUCAGUUCCUGAAAAGAGAGGAUGUUGGCCAAUGUUGUGAUAGACUCUUUUUUUUUUUUUUUUUUGAAAGCGAAGUACCUUAAUGAAAGCAUUAUUAUAACAACACUUUAAGAACUUGGGCGUAUGGGCAAUGUAAGAACAAUGAAUGACACAUUUUUCACUAUAAAAAUUCAUAAAAGAUCUUAGUUUGGAAAAAGCCCCCACCCUCUGCUCAAAGUAGAACCAAGUAGAUGAAGUUGUUCAGGAAGCCGGUCAGCUGAAUUUUAACUGUAUCCAAUGGUGGAGGUUCUUCAACCACAUGACUUCCAGCAUUCAUGGCCCUGUGGAUAGCACAGCAGACUGACACCUGCAUCCAGUUCCAGUGGCCUUAGUAAGCUCCUUGUUCCAAGCCUCUCACGUGACACCAGAUGAUCCCAUUUCUCCGUUCGUAAAACUUGAAUUACUAUCCAAAUCUACUGCAUAAUGCACUCUGAGAUGUAGCUUGUAUUGUUGCAUUAGAAACACUACUUAAACAGCAGUGUGUUUAAAGACACCAUUGUUCCAGAAUACACAUUUUUUAAGUUUCUGGCUUCCUCCAUGGGAAGAAUGAAGGCAAAGAGGGAAAGACACAUUUUACACAAGCCUGUAGAAUACUUAGAGCAGUUUCAGUGGCCUCUGCUGGUGUAGGCCUCAGCUACUGGCUCUUUCAACACCUGGCUCCUUUUUCACGGCUGGUUCUGGUGAUCUUCAGUAUUCAGGCUGAAUAGUUCUCAGUCAAUACUGACUUGCUCUUUCUGUUAUGUUCUCAGUAUUUCACUUAGAGUGUGUGUUCAUUUUGGUCACUUUAUUCUCAUACUUUAUAUUGAAAUCAUCCUUUUUGAAAAGGAUUAUUCUCAUGAGAAGCAGUAAAGACUCAAUCUCCUAUCAGUAUGAAUGACUUAUGCCUAGAAGUUCACAAGAUAACUCCUGCUGUGGAUGAUAGAACCACUUGCUAGUAAUUCUAAUUCUGCUCUGACAAAGAAGUUCAUACAGAAUAUAUCCACAUGGAGUAUUAGGUGUAUUCUUCCUCCUGUCAAAACUAUUUAGCAUCUGCAAGCAAAAAUCCCUAAAUUUUCUUUCUGCAACUUUUGCUUCUGCUUGGAUUUUUAAGACACUUCCUUGAAUUUCUCUGUCUUGUAUUGGUUCCUUUCCAGAUGCAUUUGAAUUAGCAUGAAUUUUCAACACGAUGAGAUGGGAUUUAGACAGCACAGCGACGAAUAGGAGUAAAUUGAGUUUAGUUUGCCUGUCACAAAUGUACCUCAUUUCAAAGAAUAGCACCUCGUGGGACAAGUUAAUGUCUAAAAUUAAGGAUUUCUCCAAAAUGAGGCAGAAGAAUGAUACAGUGUUUAAAAACACCAGGAGUGGGACCAUAGGGCUGCUCCUUUGCCAUCUCUUCCUCAGAGAUCUCGAAGAAGCCCAGUGCACCUUCACUUUCUGACCUUUGACACGCCAAUGAUAAACUGCCUCUAUCUCGGUGCUGUGAGGCUUAGCACUGGGCCUCAAAACACUGUGAUGGCCUUUCAUUUGUAAGGACUGUAAAACUGCACGGCUGCAUGUGAAUGAUUUAUUAAGAUUGUACCCUGGAUGUUGCCCCCCCCGGAUACUACUUUGGCAUUGCACACGCUCUUACAUCUCUUCAUGAAGAGAGACCACAGUGAUAGCCAUGGCUGGCUCUGCACUCAGGGCCUGUGAAGCAGCCACAGCCCCUAGGAGUGACGGAGGCACAGAGGUGCAGCUCACCGCCCUCAGUCCCGGCAGCGAAGCCCCGAGAGGAACGCGAUGUCGCUGCUGAUGGGGCGAAUGGCCGCGAGGUGCCUGGGCCGGGCGGGCCGCUCGCACCUAGGCCCGGCGGGGCUUUCCUGACCCGCACACGGCGAGGUACUUUCCCCGCCGCUUAACCUUUGCGUUACUCCCACUUCGCCCCAUGGGGCGGAAACUCCGAGCAGAACUCGGGGAGGACGAGAGGAGCGACCAAGGAGAGGCCGAGUGGCCGUUCCCGAGGCGUGGGUAAGAGUUGCCCGCUGCCGGCGCGCUCCGGCGGGAGCACAGCUCACAGCUCGCCGCACCCCGCUCCCCGCUCCCGGCCUGCGCC